UAUUGGACAAUGGGGGAAACCCUGAUCCAGCAAUGCCGCGUGAGUGAUGAAGGCCUUCGGGUUGUAAAGCUCUUUUGUCAGGGACGAUGAUGACGGUACCUGACGAAUAAGCUCCGGCUAACUUCGUGCCAGCAGCCGCGGUAAUACGAGGGGAGCUAGCGUUGUUCGGAAUUACUGGGCGUAAAGGGCGUGUAGGCGGUACCAUAAGUCAGAUGUGAAAGCCCUAGGCUUAACCUAGGAAUUGCAUUUGAAACUGUGGAACUAGAGAUCGAGAGAGGUAAGUGGAGUUACGAGUGUAGAGGUGAAAUUCGUAGAUAUUCGUAAGAACACCAGUGGCGAAGGCGACUUACGGCUCGAUACUGACGCUAAGGCGCGAGG
rnacentral:rRNA from 1 species